UGCACACGCUGAAGCAGCUCUUC
rnacentral:siRNA from 1 species